ACGCUCGACACCUACGGGAGGUAGCAGUGGGGAAUAUUGCACAAUGGGGGAAACCCUGAUGCAGCGACGCCGCGUGAGCGAAGAAGUAUUUCGGUAUGUAAAGCUCUAUCAGCAGGGAAGAAACUGACGGUACCUGACUAAGAAGCACCGGCUAAAUACGUGCCAGCAGCCUCGGUAAUCUGAGCGGGCUGGCAAGGC
rnacentral:rRNA from 1 species